rnacentral:lncRNA from 1 species
AUAUUUACAUCUCUUACAAUAAGCAGUGGUUGCAAGAACUGAUUGAUUGAUUUAUAUUCUAGGCUUGGAGUCUAUGGAGUAAGGGAACAGCAUUGGACCUCGUGGAUCUAAUUAUUAUAGAUAAUUGCCAAAAGAGUGAAGUAGCUCGAUGCAUCCAUAUAUGUCUUUUAUGUGUUCAAGAAGAUCCUGAGGAGCGUCCGAUCAUGUCAACCAUUUUUAUGAUGCUCACUAAUGAUACUGUGACUUUACCAGUGCCUCAACAACCAGGAUUUUUCGUUCAGAGUUGACCUGAAAAAGACCCGCUUGAUUUAAAUCAACCAACGACCACCACCAAUUCUGUUCCAAGGUUUAUUGACGGUGCAUCAAUCCCACCUAAGUAUAUCCUCGUUGAAUAUGGUGUUAACAUUCAAGUUAACCUUGAAGACAAAAUAAGAACUUUUUUCAAUUUGUUAAAGCAAUAUUUACAUAUUUUUAGAGGUGGUUAUCCAUUUUAUUGUUUUCUUUUGAUUUGGAUUUCUUGUUUGAAACUGAAAUCAGAUAAAACUAUUGUAAUUAAAUUUGGUUGUGAUGUUGUUUGAUGGAGAACCCUAAUAUGUCCUUUCCAAGCUUUGAACACCUUUUACCGAGUUUAGUGCAUGGUUGAUUUUGAAAUUUGAUCGAGUUCAGUGAUUUGGUACGUUUAAAUUUAGUUAAAGAUAACCUUUUUUCUUUCAUUAUUAGAUCAGUAAUGUCCAACCGCACAAUGGUCGCAGAAGUGGACCGUUAACCACUUGAAAUCUUGACUCAGCAAAACCUAGAUAAUGACAUGCUUGACUUACACUACUUCGAUCAAUAUUAAUUUCGGUUGUAUUUGAACAACAAAUUUUUGAUUAAAAUCGGUAUAGUAUCAAAUCUGUAUAUACAAAAAUUGAUGCGCCUUUUUCCCACGAAUUAGGGUUUGUAAUGGCGAUACGAUUUUAGAUUGCUUGAUUCGUUAGAUUGAAGCUCACCGUUCUUUAGUCAAUGACAUUUAGGUGUUCAUUCGUAUGUGUAGACACCACUGAUUGCUGCUUUCGCCACUCUGUUCGGGGCAGAGCUCUGCGUGAAAAUUGGUUUCAUCGAGUUAAAUUCUCAUCUUUCAUUAAUGACCAUCAUGAUCUUCCUUCUGUAUUUGUCACAUCUAAAUUCUGUUUUUUUUUUUUUUUUUAAUGAUUCCAAAAGAGAGGAGACUCAAGUCUCCGUUUACUUAAGAUUUAAAUUAUUGACGCUUGUUUUAGGACCGUGUAAGCAGGUUUAAAGACCACUGUUAUCAGUUUGACGAAUUCAACACUUGGAAAAUUUUAGAGAAAAAUCUUCGGUUUGCUUUGUCUCUGACGUGUGUUGCUUACUCAACCGAAAUUGUAAAUGAGUCAACGGAGAUUGAUUUUUCUAUUGAUGGUCCACACUCUACGUAACUUCUUUUUGUUUUUUUUUUUAUAAAGGUGAUAGGUCCACAUAACUUCUAGCAGACGUUUAAUUGACGAGGACAUGUUUAUAGACAAAAAAAAAAAGGUAUGCAUAUUAUUCAUACCUGCUUGCUGUCCUAAUCUAAAUAUCAUCUGUAUGAUCCUGAAAAUGGAAUUGAAGAAUCUCUUGCCAAUCUUCUGGUUUCUCCUUAUAGGCUUUACUGUUGUGUUUGCACCAGAAUGCGGAAAAACUGGGGUUUUUGUACCAAAUGGUAGGUAUGACAAGAACCGUGGCCUUCUCCUCUCUUCUCUUGCUUCUAAUGUUUCAGCUCAAAGUGGCUACUUCAAUACUUCGAUUGGCCAAGGCCCGGAUCGUCGAGUGUACGCUCUAGGGAUGUGCAUUCAAGGUGCUGAACCAGAGGUUUGCUACAACUGUAUUGACUUUGCGUCUAAUCUGUUAUUAGACAGCUGUCCCAACCAGACGGAAGGCCUGGCCUGGUCUGAAAAACGGGUUGUGUGUAUGGUACGGUACUCCAAUAUUUAUUUUUUUGGAUCACUCACGAUAGAACCGCAUUUUCCUACCCCAAGUCAGGAAGAUAUCAGAUCCAAUUUAGCAGAGUUUGAUAAAGCGUGGGAAGUGUUAACAAGUGGUAUGAUAGCUAAUACUACUUCGCCAUCAUCUAAAAGCAAUUCGAUUUUAAAACGAUUGAAGCUGCAACAAACAAAUUCUCGGAGAGCAAUAUAAUUGGCCGUGGUGGAUUUGGAGAAGUUUUCAAGGUAUCAUUUUAUCAUUUCUAGGAGCACCUAAUUCUAAAUUUAUGUAAGAAGUUUGCAGAAGGGAUCCAGACAAUGAGAUGAUGUUGUCUAAUUCUUUGUAGGCUGUCCUCAACGGGACUGAAGUUGCAAUUAAGAGGCUGUCAAAAUCAUCAAACAAGGUGCACAUGAGUUCAAGAACGAGGUUGUUGUUGUUGCAAAACUUCACCAUAGGAAUCUUGUUAGGCUUCUCGGUUUUUGUUUGGAAGGAGAAGAAAAGAUACUUGUUUACGAGUUUGUUCCCAACAAGAGCCUCGAUUACUUCCUCUUUGGUUUGUGGAAUUAGCAAAUUAUAUGUGUUCAUUAUAUUUUUGACAAGCUUCUCUUACUGAAAUCUGAAGUAGCUAAUAACUGCUUUUCUAUGUGCAGACCCAAUGAAGCAAGGAGAGUUAGACUGGACAAAACGGUACAACAUUAUCCUAGGAAUCACUCGAGGAAUUUUAUAUCUUCAUCAAGACUCACGGCUCACAAUCAUACACCGUGACCUCAAAGCCAGCAACAUUCUUCUAGAUGCCAAUAUGAACCCAAAAAUUGCUGAUUUUGGAAUGGCGAGAAUAUUUGGGAUCGACCAAAGUGGAGCUAAUACAAACAGAAUAGCUGGAACACGGUAUAUGCCUAUUACCCUUGUUAUGGCCUAUGUACUGACGCUUCAAGAAUCUUUUCUUCGCUGGUAAAUGGUAAUGUACGUAAUUUCGCUUGUGUUUUACUAUUGCAGCGGUUACAUGCCCCCAGAAUAUGUGAUGCAUGGCCAAUUCUCAACAAAAUCUGAUGUAUAUAGUUUUGGAGUAUUGGUUCUUGAGAUUAUAUGCGGUCAAAAUAACAGAUUCGUCCACCAGUCAGACACUACAGCUGAGAAUUUGGUGACAUACGUGAGUACCAAAGAAGAACUCUGUUCUGGACUAAUGAUUAAAUGAUAAAUUGUGGUUUUGACUAUAUGUUCUUGAAUGAUAACUAAAUUAUGUUACAGGCUUGGAGGUUGUGGAGAAAUGGGUCACCAUUGGAACUCGUGGAUCCAACCAUUUCAGAGAAUUGUGAAACCGAAGAAGUGAUAAGCUGCAUCCACAUUGCACUACUAUGUGUUCAACACAGUCCCACUGAUCGUCCCAGCUUGUCGACAAUCAACAUGAUGCUCACUAACAAUUCGUAUGUUUUACCUGAUCCUCAACAACCUGGAUUCUUCUUUCCAAAUAAAAGCAACAAAGAACGAGAUGGCCUCGAGUCUAGCCAGUCUACGAACAGGUCUAGUUCCCAAACUAUCAAUGAUGUAACCAUCACAGAUCUUGAACCUCGUUGAAGUUGAGAUUACAUUGACCAGACAUUAGUUCCAUUGAAAUGGUUAUGUAUGAUAUGUGAGAUAAACUCAAUCAAAGUAAGUUCAUAUAAAUUCUUCAUCAUUGCUACAUUGUAAUAUCAGCUCUAUGUUAUGGAAAUCUUAGGAAUUGUAGUUAUGAGUCCAGAAAUUUGAUCAAUAAACCCAAGGGACUUUCUAACUAUUGAUGUAAAAUUAAUGCGUUGGGUCAACUUUGAUGUUAACUGAAAUUAGGUUUUAAUUUGUGUUCAGGUUAAUUUACUAAACCGGGAAUUUAAGCUAUAUUGUGACUUAUGGUUCCUUCUCUCGUUACGAGUCACCUUUUGAGAAAUUUUCUCUUUUAGCAAUACUCUGUUUUAGUUUUAAGGGAUUAGGGCUUAGCAGUAGGCCUGGGCAUUCGGGUACCCGUUCGGGUUCGGUUUUUUUUUUCGGGUAUCGGGUCUAUUCGGGUAGGGGGUCAAGACCCAUUCGGGUAUUCUAAAAAUUCGGUUCGGGUUCAGUUCGGGUUCGGGUCGGUUCGGGUAUUUUAAUAAAAAAAGCAAAAUACCCGAAAAUAACCAAAAAUACCCAAAAUAUUUUUGGGUUCGGGUCGGUUCGGGUAUUUUAAUAAAAAAAGCAAAAUACCCGAAAAUAACCAAAAAUACCCAAAAUAUUUUUGGGUUCAGGUCGGCUUCGGGUUUUUAACUCAUAUAUACCCAAAUCUAACCGAAAUACCGGAUUUCUCGAAAAUACAUUGGUUACUCUUUACCCAAAUAUAACCAAAAAUAUCUAAAAAUACUAAAAUUACCCAAAAGAAAACUACAUCAUUAGUUACUUUUAACCAAAUAUAUCCAAAUGUAUCCGAAUUAGUCAAAAAUACCUAAUAUAUUCGGAUUUAUGAUGGUAAUUUUAGGUAUUUCGGGUAUUAUAAAUAUAAAUAUAACUAAUAUUUUUAGGUGUAUAUUUGUAUUCGGAUACAUUCGGGUACAUUCGGGUAUUGGAUUCGGUUCGGGUUCGGUUCGGGUUUUUUUCGGGUAGGAGGUUAGGACCCAUUCGGGUAUUUUUAAAAAUCGGGUUCGGGUUCGGUUCGGGUAUUUUUCGGAUUUUUUGGUUCGGGUAUUCGGUUCCGGGUAUUUUGCCCAGGCCUACUUAGCAGUGUGGUUCUAAUUGCUGCUUUAUUAAAUGCUAAUUUCGCUGCGCUGUUACCGGGCAGAUUGCUCAGCUUUAUACCCUACCAAUUGACGAAUUUUCCAUUUUGCUAUCUUAAUGUCACUUUGUCUUUUAAUAUUUUUGACUUAUCUCGUCGUCCAAAUAUGCAUUAUUUCUGCCUAGGAGAUGCUAAAACGUGUUCUUCUGGUUCUGGGUGCCACAUGAUUCAUUCAUAUAGUUACAACAAUGUGAACUUUGUUUUUGGCUUUUUUCAUGUACCAAUUUGUCUACUAUGCUUGACUGAACAAUAAAUUGCACAUGAGUCAACCCAAUAGGCAUUGACUAAGACUUAGGUAACAUACGUGUUUAAUGGACCAUAUAUACAUACUUACACACUUGUUUGCUAAAUCCUAACCCAAACAAAAUCUGUAUGAUAUUUGUAAAUGAAAAUGAAAAACGUCUUGCCAGUCUUCUGGCUUUUCCUUGUAAGCUUUUCUGUUUCGUCUGCACAAAAUUGCGGGAAAACUGGUUUUUUUAGGGGCAAUUUACAAAAAUGGCACUAAAAAGGCUUAUUAUUCCAAAAAUGGCACUUUCUUUUGAAACUUCCAAAAAUAGCACACAAAGUUUUUAAUCUUCUAAUUAAUUAAAACAAAAAAUACACAAAACUUAAUUUCAUUUCUUCCACACCCGACGGCUUCGCUUCCAACAAACUUCACCUUCGAAAAACUUGACGACUCCGUCGACCUCCACCUUCGCCGUCGACCUCGACUUUCGCCGUCGACCUCGACUUUCGCCGUCGACCUCGACUUUCGCUGUCGACCUCGACCUUCGUCGUCGCCCUCGACGACUCCGUCGGUCACCGGAUCUGAUUUCUUCACCGGAGAUUUGAAGACUUUGUCGGAUUCAUUCUUCUCCGGUGAGUUUGUGUAAUUUCCCUCACUCUCCAAUUCUUCUCUGGCGAGUUUCUGUAGUCCUUUCAUUCACUUGCUUCGAUUCAACAAAUGCUGAAAGAUAAUCGGUGAAAUUCGAUUCCGAUUUAGGGUGAGGUUUUUUGUCAUUGGGGACAAUGAUUAGAUCACUGUCAUUUUCACUGCGAUUUCUGACAUAGGGUUUUGCUAUAAGUGAAUCAAUUUUAGGAUACUUGUAUUUCAAACAUUGUUGAUGAAAAUGGUGUACUUGAUAUGUUUAAUUCAUAGUACAUUCUUUUGUUCUCUAGAUUGCUGAAAUUAAGAAAUGAUUGAGUACUAGAAAUGAAUUUGAGGCUUUAUUGUUCUCUCUUUGGCUGAAAUUAAGAAAUGAUUCUCUAUAAUAUUUGUGAUUUUUGAUUCCAUUGGAAGAUUUUCUAAUCUUUGGUAUGGUUUGUGUUGUUUCUCUGCUCUAUUUAUAACCAAACAAAGUGUUCUUAAGCUCCUUGCACUUAAUGAAUCUAUAGAUGUAUGAAUACAAAAGCUACCGUCAUUCUGUGAUAUAUAGAUAAUAUUAUAUGAAUUCAUAAGCUUGCUAUGUUAGCUUCCAUUGUCAUUGAAAGUUUGAAGGUACAGAAAUCUGUGAUUUUGUGUUGCUAAGUAUUCAGGAUAGUCUUCCCGAAAAUCUUCUGUGAUUCUGUGUUGCUUUUAAGAUAUUUAUUAUUACUAUCAUAUGGUAAUUGUGGUAUUUUGGAGCAAAAACGUUUUACAAUACAUUCAUGUUGCAGUUUUAUAAUCUUUAUGUAUAUCUUAGCUCGGGUAAUACUAAUAUAUCUUAGCAAAAAUUACAAGAUAAGAACUAAUAGGAAUCGUAGUAAUUUAAUAAGUUCUAAGGAUUUUGAUAUAACUCUCUUUCUUUCUUCUUUUGCAUUUCCUACUAAUCUGCCUACGCGGAAAAGGAAGCCUUCUCCCUCUUGAAUUUGGGGUUGAUGUUUCAAAUGGCGGAUGUUCUUAUGAAUCUGUGGAACUUAUCUACUAGAUUUAAUUUUUUUCUGCUGCUACAAACAGCCUACAGCCGAAUCAAUUUAAUAGAGAAUCCGACUGCAUUCUUGUGUGAGAAAUACACGAGCUUACCAUCACCGCAACUUUCUCAAAUACUGAAUAUUGAAGCAUCUAAUCAUGUAAAUUCAGUCUCUUCUUUUUAUGGUUUAAACUACUUUUGGGAAAGAUUUAUAGUAAUUUGGGAUGGCCUUCCUGAUUUGGGAAGGAUUUAUAGUAAUUCGGGUUGACCUUCCUAAUUUAGGAAGGAUUUAUAGUAAUUCGGGAUGGCCUUCCUAAAAUAUGUAAUUGAAUGUAUUAAGUCUGCUGAAUGUGUUUGUUUUUGUGCAGCUGAAUGUAUUUUGCAUCUCACCUUCAAAACCUGAUGAUCCUGAAGAUAAAGUUUCAUUGGAAGACGAAGAUGAUCCAGAAUUAAGUCUGCUGGUCGAGCUUCUAGGUAAAGGUUACAAAAUGAAAUAUGAAGAUUGGACAAAAUGUUCAACCACUACUUGAACCCAAGACCUAUUGUUAUUGUAACAAAACAUAUAACUAGUAAACAAAGCUUCUCAUUCGUGAAUAUCUUACAAAUGAGCAUCCUGAAUAUGUUUUAGAAAAGUCAUCCUAAAUAUGUAUGUGCCCUUCCUAAAACAUAUACAAAUGAGCAUCCUGCUCUAUUCCAUGUACAACUCUGAUAGAAGAAGUUCCGACUGAUGGAUGAAGUACCUACAAGCAAAAAACAUAGACAGGAAAAUAGACAGAGAGUUAAAAUUGAAAACACAUGACUAGAAAGCAUCAUAUCUGUAUAUUGCAUUACUUAGGGAGGCCAUCCUAAAAUACACGUAUCCUUCCUAAAACCUAUGAAAAUGAGUUUUUACCUUCUACUUUUCAUGUGCAGCCAACAAGAUUUCUAAUGCAAAAUCAAACUAAAAAAAAUCCAAAGAGACAACAAGAUUAGCUGCAAAAGACAACAACAUUCCUGUAAUGUCUGAAGUUAUGGGUGGAAUACAAAUGAUUAUAAUAUCCCAAUUGGGCAAAACUUGGUGCUUCUAAUAAGCUCUGUAGACUAUGUAAAAUAAAAUAGUUGUAGCCUGUUAUUAGACAAAAGAAAUCAUGGAUUGUAUUGUUAGCUGUGAUUGAGGAACAAAUUAAAUAACACUCAUAAUAAACUAGAAACUCGAGAGCAACAAUCAAAUCCAAGAGCUAUUAAUCAAGAACUAAUCACUAAAAGAGUUCAAAUCGAGAGCUAAUCAAAUGGAGGAGCUAAUCAAAUCCAGAACUAUAUCCACAUCCAAUCAAAGCGAGAGCUACACUCACAAGCUAAUCAAAUCUAGAGCAAAAUCACAACGUUGAUCAAUUUUAGGAGCUACAAACCCAGAAAUACAUCCACAUCGAACCAAAUCCAGAUCUACAAUCACAAACCUCUAAUCAAAUGCAGGAGUUACAAAUCGACAUCAAACCAUAUCCAGAGCUACAAUCAUAAACGUCUAAUUAAAUGCAAUGGAAGAGUUACAAAUCCAGAGCUACAAUCACAUACCCAUGAUUUCGCCGUGAAUCCCAGAAAUUAACUCUCUGAUUGAAGCUCUAAGAUCGGAAGCUUCAACGGAAUUGAAGAUCGGAGAUUGGAAGCUUUACCGGAAUUGAAGAUUGGAGAUUGAAAGCUUCAGAGGAAACAACAAUCGUAAGCUUCUCCGUCGAAUGUGUUUAAUGUUUAUUUUCUAUUUUAAUUUAUUAAUUCUUAAAAAUCAAAAAUAAGGUAAAUGAGUGCUAUUUUUGUCAAAUAAACUUGUGGAUGCUAUUUUUGUCACAAAAACUUCAUUUAGGGCUAUAUGAGACCAUUUCUCUUUUUUUAGACCCUGUGGAUGUCGGAUUCACACACUCAAGUAUUUUGUUAAGUAGGAAGGAUUAUUCUUGAGGGACAAAAAUGAAUAUGUAAAAAGAAAACUUAUAAAAUUGCUAUAUUAUUUCUUGUUCGCGAGGAAGCUCCCCUUUACACGGCCAUCGGCCUCUAUAUUUAUACAUAGAUAAGCGACAUUAAAAUGAGUAAUUAAGUACAAUUAUUCCUUCUUAAAUGUGUCCGUUUUGAUUCUUCGACUUUAAUGCUCAACGUUUGAAUUUGAGUUGACUCUGAUCUCUAUGGGCCUCGCCCCUUUUGGCCCAAGUGUCCUUAAACCGACUUACCCGUGUCUUCUACACCGAACUCGUGUCACAGUGCAGUCACUUCGGAUUAUUGAAAUAUUGACAACCACUUCGACCGCCCCUUCGGCUCACGGGUCCAAUGGGCUUCAUCCUUUAUGGGCCAUUAUCUUGACUACGUGGCAAUCUUUGGUUGGUCGCGGACUUCUGGUGCGGGAUCCGACACCAACAAUUAGCCCCCCAAGUUCUUCGAAGUGCUGUUCCAAUUCGGAGGACUUUAAAUGCUCAAGUGGCCAAAGAUUGCGCUCGAGAAUCUUUCUGAUUUCCCGCCGGAAAUCUCAUCACUCCUUUAAUUUCGGCACUAGCCAUUUUUAACCAAAUGACAUCUGUCAUCAUUAUGACCGCAUAUUGAUUAAUUACUAUUAAAACGGGAAAAAACCUUCCCACUUCCCACACAACUUCCGAGGCGGUUCCAUCAUUAGCUUGAGGUAACUUCUUUUCACCAUUACUCUCUUCUUUUACUUUUGUACUUUAAUCAAAAACUCUCUCUUCUUCUCUUCACAAAAAUCUCUCUUCGCCGGAUCUUUUAAUCUUUUCCCAAUGACUUCUGAUUCCGAUAGACCCGAAUCUCCGUCUUUCGAUGAGAGGCGUUCUAGCAACGACGAGUGCACCCGCUCUGAUGAUAUUGCCGGUCCGCACUAUAGAUCCACUUGUACCCUUCAAUCCCUUGAGCGGUUGAGAGAGCUCUGCCGGAUUCCGCCGAAAAUUAUGGCGGAACACAAAUAGCCUCCCCCACAGAAUCCCCGGAGAACCAUCGCGAUGGUUACUUCUGUGUGUACGAGAUUUACUUCAAGGGUUGCGGAUUAACCUUCCCGCUUCCCGAAGCCCUAGUUCUAUACCUAGCGGCUCUUGAAAUCGCUCUUCCUCAAUUAACCCCCAACCUUCUCCGUACCAUUCUUGGGAUUAUUACAAUCGUGGCGGAGGCCGGUUAUGUCGUCGGAGUUACUGAACUAAAUGAGCUUCUAAGCGUGAGAAGCUCAUCAAAGAAAACGGGAUAUUUCUCAGCAUAUCCUAACGCCAACAGGAACAUCAUUUCGCAUCUUCCAAACAAGGAUGAAAAUUGGCAUCAUCCUUGGUUUCUGAUUAAGAAAACUCCCGCUUCGAUUGGAAAUCUUGCAGAUUUCCUCCUUUCGAAGUGGUCGGCGAAACCUGGUAGAGAUUAGGUCGCCCGUAUCUUUCCCGGUUGUUUCUUUAUCUUUAUUAACUAACACCGUUGUUUCAUUUCGCAGCUUUCGUCGCUUCCGCUCUCCCAUCUGAAGAGUUCAUUGAAUUCUUCAAAAUAAUUCUUGAAGGGGAAACCCUUUGGAAUUCUUUCACUCUUGAGCGAUUCUUAGAAGCUAACCACAGACUCAGGAUGAGUCCGCCUGGUCAUCUUCAUCAAAUCCCUCCCCCUCCCUCAACUCAGGGAAUGUCAUCUCGGGCCCUUGCGGCCAAACGUAAGUUGCUUUCCAAGCCGAUGGCUGAGGCUUGCGAGGAGAAGAAAAAGUUUCUCGCGACUUCCAUAGACAAGAAGGACUACAGUAGGACCUUGCUGGUUGAUGAUGGCAGCACCGAGGGAGCCCGAUCUGUUGCUUCCUUCAGAUUAACUCCUCGUCGCGAUCGCCGCGACUCACGUUCUCCUCGGAGGGAUCAAUCUCCUCGCCGUGAUUCACCUCGUCCUCCCCGAGAUGAUUUUAGUAGUGAACCAAUUAAGAACUUGGUUCGCCGGAAGAGAGACAAGUCUUCUCGCAGUGAUCCUUCCCCGCAAAGGGAAAAGUCAAGGGCCCGGAAUGACCGCUCACCUCGGUCAUCCCCUCCUUCUGAACCAAUGGGUCCUCCUCGACCGGUUGAUAUGUCCUCCUAUUCCCAGCCUGAUAGUGGAAAGACUGCCCGGAGCGCGUCUCCGAAAAAGGGAGAUUCUGAAUCUCGAGAUGCUUCCUCGAGGUUAAAACCUGCUCUUGUCCCUCAAAUCAAAUCGCUUUCAGGUUUGGUGAUUCAUACAGUCUUCAACGUUUUUUUUUUUUUAAGAUUCCGAUUUUUACAACUCUUCUUUCUUCGCAGCUAUGGAGAAAGAGGGCAGCGUCUUCCGAUGCUUCAAGACCCGAUCGGGUUCGAUCUUGCCAGACUUCGACAAAUGGCGCCCUGCGAUUCGUGAACGUUAUUUGCUUCAUGCACAUCAUUCAUCUCGGGUUAGUUCCGUUUUCUUUUAUAUAUAUUUUUUAUUGUAUUGCCAUUCUGCGAACUGACUUGCCACCCCGGGUUCAUGUAUAACACCAGGCUCAUAGCGAAUUUAACGACAUGAUCGAACAUUACGAAGGGUUGGUCAUUGGACGGGAGAAGGAGAUUGACAUGUGGAAAAAGAAACUCUCUGCUUUUGAGGCCGAACUCAGUUCUUCUGCCGGCUCCAAGCACGAUCUGGAGGACAAAGUCGACAAUUUAACAUCCGAGCUUGCGCAGAUAAAGGGGGAGCUGCAGGGUCAGUACGACCAGAACUUCAAGCUCCAGGAAGAGUUUUCUGGUAUUCAAGGUAGGCUUCAAGAGUCCGAAUCAAACGCUGAUUCCCUGAACACCCAACUCAUCGAACUCAACGCGAAGUACAAGGCGAUCGCCAAAUUGCGUGACUCCGAGUUGGCGAGGUCGGCAUCAAAAGCCAGAAAAGAGGUCAAGGGACGCGGGAUGGAGUUGAUCCAAGGGGCCAUCCGAUUCAUGCAGACUGAGAAGGCUAGGUCUGACUUGGAAUCAGACAUCAAGGAGCACGAGAGCAACCUGAUCCUGUUGGAUCAAAUCCAUGAUGCAGAUUUCUCCGAGGAUCAAGAGAGAACCGAACUAUCGGCUAAUCUUUCUGAAAAGCGGAGUCGCUUGGCAGCUCUUCCUACUCCGACCUUCAACCCUCAGGACUUCGAGGAAUUCUUCACUGAAUCGCCUCCUAUAGGCGAAUCAGGUCUAGACUGGGCAGGUAAUGCUUGGCUCCUGAUAUUUAUUACCUUUCCUUUUCUUGUACCUUUGAUUGACUGGAAUUAUUAUUCCUAGGCUCAAGUGAGACGGAGGACGUUGUCCCGCCCGUAGCCCCUAUGGUACCGGAGGUCACUCCGGAGGUUGGUUGUACCGCGGAGGGUGGUCAAGGAGCUUCAUCUGAUCAAGCAGCUGCCAAGGAGGCGAAUGAAGCUUCGACUGUUGAACCGGAUUCCGAGGUGGCUGCUGCUCCGUAGUGGCUGUGUCCACUUUAAAUUGGGGAUUGUCCCUUUAUUUUUAAGACUUAAUUUCAAACUUAUUUUUGCCUAAGGAGGCUUUAUUUUCUUUUGAACAAAAUAUUUGCCUGAGGAGGCUUUUAAACCUUACUAGGUUGUGACCCAAGGGGGUUUGGUUAAAAUUAUAUGCGGGUUUGCAAAGUCCGCUUUUAACCUUUUGUGGCCUUGUGGCAAUGCUUUCGAGAUUUUUAGGCUGAUCAGACCUUUCUCUUUAGAAUGCGAGAGCUGAGCUCGGCUUAAAGCGAGUUCCCCACUUCGGGUUUAGUCAACUCGGUAAACUUGUUGGGCUUGGGCCUUAGAAACUUUUGCAGUUAAUGCGACGGUUGCUCUUUCCCUUUUUAAAGAAAACGGCUCGUCUUUUAAUGUAAUAAUUGCCUUUUCUCGAUUUUCCAAAAAUGGUUUAACCCACUCGGAAACGCUACCAUUAAUGGAUUUAUGGUUCCAAGGCAAACCCUAAAUCAUUAUAAAUAAAGACUUACCUACCUCUAGGCUUUAUUAAACAUGACUCUAGAAUCUUACUUGAGAAAUAUUUUAAGAAUGGAAGACGAAACAGUAGCCCCCGUUGAUCCCGGCAGUCCACUCUUCUUAUCCGGCGACGGCUUUGAACCGGCCGGCGUUCUCUUCCCUCACGCCGUCUUUCACUUUCCUCCGAAGGAGAAGAAAGAGGCUUGCGAUUUUAUUGACAAGGUAAAUAUUAAAGUUUUUGAUUUCAAACUUCUUGUUUCAUCUUAUUCAUUCAUUUUUAUGCUAGGUCGCCGACAAGCACCGUCGCUUGUGUGAAGAGAGGCAGCGGCUGGGACUCAAAAGGCAGACGCUCGAGGCUCGCAUCGCUCGGGUGGAAAGGAAGAUACGGGCUUUGGAGAGUGAUCCCUUUCAAUGGGAGUGGCGGAACUUCGAUUCCGUUGCUGAGAUCCCGAAGAUGCUUCGGAUGUAUCUCCGUGCUAGAGGAGUCCCGGGUCCCGUGAACGCCCCUGUCUUCGCCGUUCCAUCCGACAGUGAAGAGGAAGAGGACUUGGAGGAGGAGGCCAGCAACUGCCGGAAACGUGUUCGGGAUCGUUCCGAAGUGGAUGCCAAAAACAAGGCAUCCACGUCGGAAAAGAGGAGACUUCGGAAGAGGAUUAACCGGAUGCAACGCAGGCUUACUACAGUGUCAAGAAGUCUUCACAUCCUUGAAUCUCACCCCGGAGAGUGGACUGAGCUUGGAAUUUCUGACUUUGCUCGAAUUCCGGACUGCAUGAUGCCGAUCCUCGAUCUUGCUGGUCAAGGAGUUGAAGUGUUCUGCUCGUCAGCAAGAUUUCCAUAGUCCGGAGUGUACGAUGAGGGACAUUCCGUCCUUUGAAUAAACGUUUUAUUUCCAAUUUCUUGUAUGUUCGCUUAGCCGAGCCUUCUAUUUGCUUCACUUGUUCGCACAGUCGAACCUUUCUCCUUUAAUAAAGAAAUAAAACAAAUUUUUAUUAAUAGCUGAACUUGUUUUCGAGCUGCCUACGUACCCAUCUCGGGAUCAAGCCACACCGUAGUUCAUGUACAUAAACAAUGCAUGUAGCUUUAAACAUAAAAUUUCUUUAGGUUGAUCACAUUCCAAGGUCGUUUGACUGGAUUGUCUUCUAAGUCUUUCAACCUAUAAACACCGUUCCGUACCACUUCGGUAAUAAUGUAAGGUCCUUCCCAAUUAAUACCGAGUUUACCGGCACCUUCUUCUUUUCUGUUGUCGAAGACGCGCCUCAAUACAUAAUCUCCCACGAAGAACGGCCUACUUUUAACCUUAGAAUUGUAAUACCGGGCUGCUGCCUGUUGGUAAUUCUGGAUCCGAAUUAGAGCUUGAUCACGCCUUUCAUUUAUGGUAUCCAGUGAAUCAUUAAGCAUUGCUGAAUUUUCUUCCUCAUUUAACGGUGCUUCUGUUCGACGAAGUCCGGGCACAUUGAGUUCAGCUGGUACUACCGCCUCCAUGCCAUAAACCAAAGAGAAUGGAGUUUCUCCUGUAGGUCGCCUAGGGGUUGUACGAUAAGCCCACAGGACGGGUUGGAGUUCUUCAUACCAUCCUCCCUUUAGAUGACUUAAGCGUUUCUUGAGAUUGCUUAAUAUUGUCUUGUUCGCGGCUUCGGCUUGACCGUUUCCUUGCGGAUAUCGUGGAGUAGAAUAACUAACUUUGAUUCCCCAAUCCGCACAAAAGGCAUCAAACUCGUGUGAAAUGAAUUGCGGUCCAUUAUCAGUGACUAUUUCGUAUGGAACUCCAUGUCGACAUAUAAUGUUUUUCCAAAUAAAGGUCUGCACCGCCGAAUCCUUGAUACCGACAUACGCCUCAGCUUCAAUCCAUUUUGAAAAGUAGUCCGUAAGGACUAAAAGGUACUGUACACCUCGAGUUGAUUUGUGCAAUGGUCCAAUGAUGUCCAUUGACCACCUCAUAAACGGGUAUGGGGCGGAAAUGGAGGAGAAUAAUUCCGACGGUUGAUGGAUCAAUGGUGCAUGGAGUUGGCAGUGCUUACAUCUUUGGGCGAACUUAACACAAUCUGUGAUCAUAGUGGGCCAAAAAUACCCCAUUCUUUUAACUUUAAAAGCCAUAGCUCUUCCUGAUGAAUGACUCCCACAUAAUCCUUCAUGUACUUCGCUCAUGAUGAUUUCGACUUCGGGCCCAAAAAUGCAUAAUAGGUAAGGGUCACUGACACCUCGUCUAUAUAACGCAUCCUUUGACAGACAAAAUUUUGCGCUAACGACUUUCAUUUUCCUGGCCUGCCAUUUAUUCUUUGGGAGCUCUCCUGUCAUGAUGUAGUGCUUUAUUGGCUCCCUCCAAUCAGCCCCCCAGUCUUUAGCCGGAAUUUGGUCAACUUUGUGAAAUAUUCGUGGCUCUGGUUCGGGAUGUUCAUUUGGUUCAAGAAUAUCCUCCUCGAUUAAUGGCUCGGUUUCUAUCAUCUUUUCUGGAAUCACAUCCUCAGCUAAGACAACAGGUUCCUUGUUAGAUGUGUUUGAUCCCUUUGGCUUCCUUCGUUUGUUGGGUAGCGGUUCGAUCUCUGGUUUGCCACGGUCGCGUGCCGCUGCUCGAGACCUUGUAACGACGAGGGUUUCUUUGCUGUCUUGAAUGCUUCGCUUCGAAAUGCAUUUCACUGGAAUAACUCUCUUUAACUCAGGAUCUGAUGUUGACGCCAAUGCGGCAAGUGCAUCCGCAGUUGUAUUCUCUCCCCGAGGUAUGCGGAUUAAUUCGAAUUUUGAGAAAUUUUUAGAUAACUCCUUCACCACUUCGAGGUAUGCUUCCAUUCUUGAAUCUUUGGCUUCAUAGUCUCCAUUAAAUUGAUUAACUACUAAUUGCGAAUCGCAAUAAGCCAAUAUUUCCUUAGCUCCAACUCCUUGUGCUAGUCGAAGUCCGGCAAUAAGGGCUUCGUAUUCUGCCUCGUUGUUGGAGGCAUUGAAUAACAAUCGGAAUGAUUGUUCUAGAAUUUCUGAUGUUGGAGAUUCCAACUUAAUUCCCACUCCGGAUCCUUGCUUUGGUGAAGACCCAUCUACGUGUAACUUCCAAGUUUGGUUCUCAGGUUGCUCUAUCGUUCCAGGUAUUGGUAGUUCGGUUAAGAAAUCUGCUAAGACCUGAGCCUUCAUACUGAUUCGGCUUUUGAACUCUAUGUCGUACUCGCUUAAUUCCACCGCCCAUUUCGCCAAACGUCCGGAUUGACUUGGACUAUGAAGUAUUGUUCUGAGUGGUUGGUUAGUUAAUACUUCAACCGGAUGGGACUGAAAAUAUGGACGCAGCUUCCGAGCCGAAGUUACCACCGCGAGUGCAAGCUUUUCCAUCAUUGUGUAUCUGGUUUCUGGAUCCGUCAUUGACUUGCUCACGUAGUAAAUUGGCUUCUGCUCCCCACGGUCUUCCCGAACCAAGACUCCACUAACCGCGUGGUUUGAAACUGAUACGUACAAGUAAAGUUUUUCAUCCACCUCCGGUUUGGACAGUAUAGGUGGAGUGGUUAAGUAUGCCUUAAGCUGCCCAAAAGCUUCUUCACACUUCUCAUCCCAAAGGAAUCCUUUGUUCCCUUUUAGAAUUUGGUAGAAAGGCAACGACUUAUCUGUUGAUCUCGAGAUAAAACGAUUCAAAGCCGCAAUCCGCCCAGUCAACCGUUGCACUUCUUUGAAGUUUCUUGGAGAUGGCAUGUUUAGAAAGGCGUUAAUUUGAUUUGGAUUGGCUUCAAUCCCUCUUUCUGUCACGAUAUAGCCAAGAAAUUCUCCGGAUGGGACUCCAAAUGUGCACUUCGCCGGGUUCAGCUUCAUUUGAUAUUUAUUGAGAAUAUCAAAACAUUCCUCCAAAUGUUUAACAUGAUCUUCUUUCUUCAACGAUUUAACCAACAUAUCAUCUAUGUAGACUUCCAUAGUCUUCCCGAGGUGAUUGUGAAACAUUUUGUUCACCAACCGUUGGUAAGUUGCUCCUGCAUUUUUCAAACCAAAAGGCAUUACCUUAUAACAGUAGAUACCUCUAUCAGUAAUGAAUGACGUCUUUUCUUGAUCUUCGGGGUUCAUCAUUAUCUGAUUAUAACCCGAGAAGGCGUCCAUGAAUGUUAACAGCUCAUUUCCAGCGGUGGACUCUACAAGUCGAUCUAUAUGCGGGAGCGGGAAACUAUCUUUGGGACAUGCUUUAUUCAGGUCUGUAAAAUCGAUGCAAACCCUAUCUUUCCCAUUCUUUUUCUUGACAACGACAGUGUUUGCUACCCAUUCCGGAUAUUGCACUUCUCUUAUGGACCCUAUCUUCAAUAGUUUAUCCACUUCGUCAUUUACUAUUUUGGCCCGCUCCACUCCAAGCUUUCUUCUUUUUUGUUUCACCGGUUUGAAGCUUGGAUCCACGUUUAGUUCAUGACAAAUUAUACUCGGAUUUAUGCCAGGCAUGUCCGCUGCUGACCAUGCAAAUGAUGCUUUGUUUUUCCUUAAGAGUUCGAUCAAAGCUUCUUUUGUUUGGCCAGUCAAAGUUGCUCCAAUUCUAAUUUUCCGGUCCGGCUUGUCUUCUUCCAGUACUACUUCGACUACUACAUCCUCUUUCUUCUGCCCACUAGGAAAUUUUGUUUUUAGUCCCUCUUUUGCGGGCUUCGUUAAUUGCUAUUGAAUCUUCAUACGGUGGCUAGCUAAGUAACACGUCCGUGAAGCUUCUUGAUCUCCCCGAAUUGUUUCCACCCCAUUUGAUGUUGGAAAUUUGAUACAUUGAUGGUAUGUAGAGGGGACUGCUUUCAUUCGAUAAAUCCAGGGAGUCCCGAGGAUGAUGUUGUAAGCUGCGGGCUUAUCGAAGACGACGAAGUCCACGAUCUUUGAUACCUUCUUGGCAAGGACCGGUAGCUUGAUUGUUCCGAGAGACAUGGCUGACUCGCUUGUGAACGCAACUAACGGAGAUGGGGGUCCUACUAUGUCUCCUCGGCUGAUUCCCAUUUUUUCUAGAGUACUUAAAAAGAUCAGGUCAACCGAACUGCAUGUAUCUAUGAGGAUCCUUGAUACUUCGAAGUUAGCAACAUCAAGAGUAAUGACUAGAGCAUCAUCAUGCGGUCUUUCGAGAUGCCGCGUUUCUUCUUCAUUAAAUGAUAUUGAGGCACCUUGAAAAUCAAUUUCUUCGCUCAAGCUUGCUUUGAGUAAGACAUUUCGUCUAUGCUUUUUGAUGGAACUUAUUGAAUCUCCGCAAAAUCUGGAACCUCCUAGAAUCACAUUGAUCUUACCCUUAGAACUCCUUGGUUCUUCCUCGUUGGAUAACCUUGGUCUUUUGGAAUCUUGAUCUUUGGAGUUUUCCUUUGCUUCGUGGUAUUCCUUCACAAAAUCUUUUAUAUCGAAUUUAGAAAGAUCGCCACUAGCCCAAAGCUCUGCGAGGUGCUUUUUAAGAACGCUGCAAUCCUUGGUUAAGUGUCCGGUUACUUUAUGAAUGUCGCAAUAUAGACUUUCAUCACGGAUCCAAGUGUUUGAUCUUCCUUUCCCUUGGAAUUGCUUUCCAACGGUGUUGUUGAAGGGUUGCGACCCAAACUUCUUUGGUCCUUUGCUCUCCCUAGGCUCGAACUUCCUGGCAGGGACGGUGAUUGCUGGCUUUUCUUGCUUAUUUCUUUUGGCAAAACUUUCUUUUUCGUCCUCUACCUCCAUCCAGUUGUUCGCGCGAAAGAGUGCAUCCUGAAUUGUGUCUGGUUUAUGAAGUAUUAAGUCUUCUUUAAACCUUGAGUCAUGUCGCAAUCCCUUUCGUAAGGCAGAUAAAGCUGAUUGCUGUGAGAUUUUUGGGAGUUUUGACAGCACUCCUUUGAAUUUGGUGAUGAAAACGCGAAGUGACUCAUUAGAUCCUUGCGUUAAGUUCCAAAGAUCGGCAUCCGAAACGCUUUUAUCCAUAAGGAUGGAGUAUUGCUUUAAGAAUACGGCCGAUAGUUCGUCGAAAUUGCUGAUCGAACCCGGCUCUAAUUGGGUGAACCACAUUAAAGCUUGGCCACAUAGAUUCUCCGAAAACAGCUUGCAAUAGCCUGCGUCCUCAUCAGCUUCAUCCAAUUCGACUCUUCCAGCAGCGAUCAGAAAAGCUGCGAGAUAGCUUUUUGGAUCCUCCAAUCCGCUGUAAGGGUCCAAUUUGAGUUUCCGGGAAUCUUUGAUCCUCAAACUCGCAAUUCGCGAGAUGAAAGGUGUUCGCCUAGCUUCUUCAAUGACUCGAUUGAUGUCUGGCUCUGAACUUGUAGCCUGAUGAAAUUUUGAUUUCAUUUCUUUUAAUUCCUGGCUAACCUUCCUCAUGGUCUCGAACUGGUCGAGGUUCUCCUGCUCGUACUGAGCUGCAAGUUGUUCUUCAUCCCCGAGCUGCGUCUCUUCUUCCAACGUCUGAGCUACGUUAUUAGUAGCACCGGGAGUUGUUUGUCCACUGGUUUCAUUUCGUGCAGCGGAACUUGGCGAGUUGAAUAUCCCUCUUCGGAUUCCCACCGGGUUUCCUGCACUUAAAGAGCGAACACGAGUUUGUAUAGUAUUGACGUUUUGACUAAGAGAUACCUGGGAUGUUUGCAACGUAUCGACGGCCUUUUCCACAUCCGAGAACUUUUGUGAUAUGUCCGACAUGGUUUGCUGCAUAGCUUUGAGGGUUUCGGCCAAUGAUGUCUCAGCAGCGUCUCCUCCGGACAUUGUUGCUUAUCUCGGGAGUGUGAUAAAGAAAAAAUCUGACCACUCAAGAAUCGUAAUCUUACCCACAGACGGCGCCAAAAUGUGGAUGUCGGAUUCACACACUCAAGUAUUUUGUUAAGUAGGAAGGAUUAUUCUUGAGGGACAAAAAUGAAUAUGUAAAAAGAAAACUUAUAAAAUUGCUAUGAAAAUUGCUAUAUUAUUUCUUGUUCGCGAGGAAGCUCCCCUUUACACGGCCAUCGGCCUCUAUAUUUAUACAUAGAUAAGCGACAUUAAAAUGAGUAAUUAAGUACAAUUAUUCCUUCUUAAAUGUGUCCGUUUUGAUUCUUCGACUUUAAUGCUCAACGUUUGAAUUUGAGUUGACUCUGAUCUCUAUGGGCCUCGCCCCUUUUGGCCCAAGUGUCCUUAAACCGACUUACCCGUGUCUUCUACACCGAACUCGUGUCACAGUGCAGUCACUUCGGAUUAUUGAAAUGUUGACAACCACUUCGACCGCCCCUUCGGCUCACGGGUCCAAUGGGCUUCAUCCUUUAUGGGCCAUUAUCUUGACUACGUGGCAAUCUUUGGUUGGUCGCGGACUUCUGGUGCGGGAUCCGACACCAACAGACCCUACGAUAAGUAUGAUACAAACUGUCACCUUCUCCUCUCUUCUCUCGCUUCUAAUGUCUUAGCUCGAGGCGGCUUCUACAAUGCUUCGGUUGGACAAGGACCUGAUCGGGUGUAUGCUGCUGGGAUGUGCAUCCGAGGUGAUGAACCAAAAGGUUGCUCAACCUGUAUCAACUCUUCUUUUCAUAGGUUGAUAAAGAAAUGUCACAACCAAAAAAUAAGGCCUCGACUGGACCUAUUACAAGGGAGUUCCUUAUAUGAUACGUUACUCCAACCGUUCGUUUUUUGGAUCACUCGAGAUGCAACCAUUUUAUAAGGAGUACAAUAGUCCAGAUUUCCAAGUCAAUUUGAAAGAGUUUGAAAAAACAUGGGAGGCUUUGAUGCUUAGUGUGAUAGCCAAAGCAAUCUCGUCGUCCAACCCAAAAUAUCUAUGGGUUGUGCAAUGCAGUAGAGAUAUAUCUCCGUGGAGCUGUGGCAAAUGUUUAAGAGAUAAUGUGGAUCAUUAUAAGUUUUGCUGCCGUGGGAAAACAUAUGGCCUUAGUUUCAGGCCGAGCUGUUACAUGCGAUGGGAUGUCUAUUCAUUCUAUGGCGUUUUUGACAAUAAGACUUCACCCACACUUCCUCUUGAAAAAAGUAAAAUCUCAGAACUAUCUUGUCCAGCUAUUGUUUUCGUAAUCUUUUAGCUAACCAUGAUUAAUGUUUGUCUGCUCUGUUUUUGUAGUCAAAUUUGUUCACACCCCCUGUGAGUUACACUCAUUGAUCUUGCUUGAACCCUACGGUACUAGCUUUUAGUCCAUAUUUUCCCUUAAGCGCAAUAAUCAUAGGUAAUUUGGGCUUGUUCAGGUGGCAGAAAGAUUUCUACAGGACUUAUUGUCGUAGUGAUCGUUGUUCUCGCCUUGGUGACCACUGUACUGCUUACUCUAGGGUAUGCUCUUUGUAGGAGGAGAAAAGCGUACAAUUGAAGAUGCAGAUUCUAGAACAGCUCGCUGUUGGGAUCAGGAAGCUGCAUCAGAUCACAUCAGACGGCUGAGUUGCUGACAUGGACGCGUGAGCUGACGUGGCAGAGCUGGACUGGUUGGUGUGAUGAGCCAAGGAAGGUUUCGGACUUGGCAAGGUGGUUAAUGACGUGGGGUUGGUGUGAAGAUAUGAGAAUAUUUCUUGUACCAACUAUGGAAGGGAAAAGCUUGAUGAACAAAGAAGUUCCCAAAAGGUUGAUUCUUGAAGAUCCUAGGGUCUAGGGUUUUCGUGUAAGGUAUAAAAGGUUUAGGUGGAGGCCAUAGGCGUCGCUAGCACUUUAGAACAUUGUUAUACGGUUGUAAUCUUCGAAGCAAAGAAAAAACUUAGAAGGUGAGUGUGUUCUAGUCCUCCUUGUUCUCAUCGGGUAGAUAGAUAAGAGGAUUAGCAUUUGUUUUGUUCUUGUCGGGUUCAUCCUAUUGGGUAGAAUAGGUGAGUAAGUGCCGAGAUAAAUGUAUCCUUGUAUAAAGAUAUAUUUAUCAAUAAGAACAAAGUAAAGGCGUUGGCUUGGCGCGUUUCCAAGCGUAAACAGUGUGAUGUGUACCUCUAUACCCUUUCAAAUUGGUAUCAGAGCAGUCGCUUGAUAAAAGAAUGUGUCUUUUCAAUAGGUGAGAUCUUGUGACCAGGUAUGGAGAAAUCACAGCAGUUCGUUGCGAUAGCUAAACCGCCGAAGCUUGAUGCAGAAUACUAUGGCUACUGGAAAGUGUCAAUCAGGAAGAGUAGUUGGAACAUUGUAAAUAAUUGUCAAUUUCAAUUACACUCUAUUUAUUCCUUUUUUGUUUCUAACAAAACUGAAAGUGAUUUGUGCUGUGUUUUGCAGCGGUUACAUGCCUCCCGAGUAUGUGGCGAAUGGGCAGUUCUCGAUGAAAUCUGCUUCCACCAGAUAGAUGGUUCAGUAGGCAACUUGGUCACAUAUGUUAGUACUAAAAAAAGCAAAUGCAAUCUUGAACUUAUUUUCACCCCUUUAAACUGUGGUUGUGGCCCUGAACAUUGGUUUUUUGACAAAUGACUUAACAGGUUUGGAGGCUUUGGAACAACAAAUCUUUCUUGGAACUCGUAGACCCGGCCAUGGGAGAGAGUUAUGAUAAAGAUGAAGUCAUCAGAUGCAUCCAUAUAAGCUUAUUGUGCGUUCAAGAAAAUCCUGUAGAUCGUCCAACCAUGUCCACAUUAUUUCAGAUGCUUACUAAUACUUUUCUUACUCUGCCCGUGCCUCAAUCACCUGGAGUUUUCUUCAGGGUCAGAUCCGAGCCAAACUCAUUAGCCGAGAGAUUGGACCCUGGUCCGUCUAAUACCAUGUCGUUUGCUUAUUCCAUUGAUGAUGCGUCGAUCACGAGUGUUAAUCUUCGUUGAAAUUAGAGGUUAAUAAUAGUAGGGAAAGUUACUAGAUUAACCCAAAUUAUGAGUUUAAUUACUAGAGUGUCUUAAAAAAUUUAGGGGUUAAAUGAGUUAUUUUCGUGACCAUAAUACCCUUUCUCUCUUUGUUAGGAAUAAAAAAAAGUCAAAAUUACCCUUAAAUAAAUAAUAAAAACGUGGGCAAAAAAUAUUAGGAAAAAAAAAUUAUUUGAAAAGUCUGUUGGAUAAGUUGUGACAGAUUUAAUUUCCAUGACAGACUUAUUUGUCUCCAACAGAUUUUUUGCGACAGAUUUUUUUUCUCCCACAGACUUACUUGAAAUAGGUGACGACAGAUAUUUAAUUUGUAACAGAUUUUUUCUCUACGACAGAUUUAUUUUAUGAUGACACCACAGACUUUUGUAAUUUUGACAGAUUUAUUAAAAUAUGUGGCAGAUUUAUUAUUUCAGUGGCGUCAGACUUAUAUUUUUUGAUAAAAAUCUGUCAUAAUGUAGCAGAUUUGUUAAUGAAAAAAUAAUUACUAGUUUGACUUAUUAGUGAUAGCAGAUUUAUUUUAUGUUAUGACAGUUUUUUUUGUUUUAACAAAAAUCUGGAGUGUGAUAGCAGAUUUGUUAUUUAAAAAUAUAAAUUGCUAGAAUGACAUAUACUCGCAACCAAAAUGUUUUAUGUUAUGACAGAUUUUUUUUAUAUUAUGACAGAUUUCAGAUUGGAUAUAAAAAAAUUUGUCAUUGAUGACAGUUUUAUUGAUGAAGAUAGAAUUUUAAUCUGCAUAAUCUGGUAAUGACAGACAUAUUCUUACCGCGACAGACUUAUUUAUAUUAAAUGACUCAUGUGUGGCUCUCAUCUUGUUAAUAUAUGAUUAAUUUUUUUCGUUUUAGAUAAAUAUAUUUAUUUUUUCGAAUUUCUAUUUUUUUUUUCGUUUUGUAUUUUUUAUUUCAUUUUAUAUUUUUUUCAAUUUUUUUUUUAUUUUUUUUAUUUUUUUCGUUAUAUAUAAAAUUUUUAAUCUAAUUUUUUUUUUCAUUUUGUAUUUUUUUUCGUUUUAUAUAUUUUUUUUCAAUUUUUAUUUUUUAUUUUGUUUUAUAUUUUUUUUCGUUAUAUAUAUAAUUUUUUUAAUUUAAUUUUUUUUCGUUUUAUAUUAUUUUUUUCAAUUCUUUGUCGUUUUGUAUUUUUUUUUCGUUUUGUAUUUUUUCAAUUUUUUAUUUAAUUAAAAUAUUAUAUGUUAAUUAGUUUAUUUUAAUAGAAUUAAAAAUAAAAUGGGUAUUUGGUCUUUUAACACAAAAAUUGUGUUAUUCUAGUAAACCACAAUAUUUGGAUGUUAAUCUAGUUAUUUUUCCCAAAAUUUGGGUCAAACUAGGUAAAUUUCAGAUAAUAGUAUGUAUACCAUUUCGUAAGCCAAAAUUCUAACGUGUGAAAUUUACGUUCUGAUUACUAAAACGGGGAACGUAAAUUUAUCUAACUCUGCACAAUAUUGUGUGUACACUACUUGGUCAGAGUCUUGACUUUAAACUCUUCGUGUCUUGUUUUCCCACUUUGCAAGUUUUGUUGUUCACUAAAUUUGACGUUAAAAAAAACAAAAGCACUUGACUUUGCCUUUGGUUGAUUUAUAGUCGUCGCUAAUCAUCCUCUGUUUCACAUAUAGGAGAUUGAUCAUGAUGUGAAACCCAAACUGGGGAAAUCGAACAAUGACUUCUUGCGCCUCUUUCAUCUUCCUUUUUCUUUUCUCCUUCCUCACUAGCUUCACAGCUUCUGCUCAAAAUAUUUUCUACAUACAGCAUAUUUGUCCAAAUACGACAACUUAUUCACGAAACAGCACUUACUUCACUAAUCUCAGAACCCUUUUGUCUUCUCUUUCUUCCCCCAACGCCUCUUAUUCCACUGGAUUCCAAAACGCCACGGCGGGACAAGCCCCCGACAGAGUCACCGGACUUUUCCUUUGCCGCGGAGACGUCUCAUCGGAAGUUUGUCGUAAGUGCGUCGCCAUUUCCAUCAACGACACACUCACUCAGUGUCCGAAUGAGAUGGAAGCCGUGUUUUAUUAUGAUGAGUGUAUGCUCAGAUAUUCUGACCGGAAUAUUCUCUCGACCCUUGCAUACGAUGGAGCAUGGUUCAGGUUGAACGGUAAUAUUUCAAUUGAUCAAAAUCAAAUGAACCGGUUCAAAGAUUUUGUGUCGUCCACGAUGAACCAAGCUGCCUUGGAAGCAGCGAGCAAUGCUACAAAGUUCUAUACGAUAAAGGCCAAUUGGACCGCACUCCAGACUUUGUACGGCUUGGUUCAGUGCACUCCUGAUCUUACAAGACAUGACUGCUUGAGCUGUCUGGAAAGUUUCAUCAAUGUAAUGCCUCUUUACAAAACUGGAGGAAGAUUUCUUUACCCUAGUUGUAAUUUAAGGUACGAGCUAUUCGCGUUCUAUAACGAAUCCGCUGUUAGAACACAACCACAACAACAAGUACCACCACCACCGCUGCCUCCUGCAUCUACUCCUCCGAUGACAUCUGCUUCACAACCUGGUGAACUCUUUCUUCUUGAAAUUAGCAUUACCAAUAGGAAUUUUUUGUCCUUUCAAUUGAUUUUAGAUUUGUUAUAUUUUUGUUUGCCGCUAUCUGAUGUUAAGCUAAUGAUCUUUGAAACGCAGGGAAAAGUUGGUUCUCAAAUGUGUUAGUGGUAGCAAUUGGUGUGACUAUUAUAGUGGCUGUUCUAAUUUUGAUAGCUGGUUACUGUUUCCUUGCAAAAAGGGUAAAGAUGUCUUCUGAUACUGCACCAGCCUUUGAUGGUAACAAUUCGAAUGGUUAACAAUCUUAAUUGGAUUGAAAAAUAUCAUUGACCAAUCUUUUUAAUUAAUUUUUCUGAUUAUUAAGACUUUUAUUGUGCAACAGGAGAUGAUAUACCAACCUUAGACUCGCUGCAACUUGAUUAUAGAACGAUUCGAGCUGCAACAAAUAAGUAUUCAGAAAAAAAGAAGAUUGGUCAAGGAGGAUUUGGUGAGGUUUACAAGGUACUAUUACUAUUAAUUCUUUAAACUUUGUACUUUUUAUUGAAACUUUGUGUCAACACAUAUGGAUAACGAGAUGAUGUUGAUGAAAACGAAUAGGGUACAUUAUCGAAUGGGACAGAAAUUGCGGUUAAGAGACUGUCAAAAUCUUCAGGACAAGGUGACACAGAGUUCAGGAAUGAGGUUGUUGUUGUUGCAAAGCUUCAGCAUAGAAAUCUUGUUAGGCUUCUCGGAUUUUCUAUUGAAGGAGAAGAAAGGAUAUUGGUCUAUGAGUAUGUGCCCAACAAAAGCCUUGAUUACUUUCUUUUUGGUAAGUUGCAUUUAUUGCUUUACUUUAGUUAUUCUUUAGCCAUUCUUGAAACUUGGGGACUAAGCAAAAUACAUGAAUGCGCACACAGAUCCUGCAAAGCAAGGUCAGUUGGACUGGACUCGACGAUACAAGAUCAUUGGAGGAAUUGCUCGGGGAAUUUUAUAUCUCCAUCAAGAUUCACGUCUCACAAUCAUACACCGUGACCUCAAAGUAAGUAACAUUCUCCUGGAUGCAGAUAUGAAUCCCAAAAUAGCUGAUUUUGGAAUGGCAAGGAUCUUUGGAAUGGACCAAACCCAAGAGAACACAAGUAGAAUAGUUGGUACCUUGUAGGUCUUCCAUUUAACUUCUCAUAAUUUGAAGUUCUUAAUCAUGAUUAAGUUAAAAUACUAAUUUUUAUUGUGGAUUUCAGCGGUUACAUGUCUCCCGAAUAUACAAUACAUGGCCAAUUCUCAGUGAAAUCUGAUGUCUAUAGCUUCGGAGUGUUAGUUCUUGAGAUUAUAAGCGGUAAGAAGAACAACAGCUUCUACGAAACAGACGGAGCACAUGACCUUGUCACUUAUGUAAGUUUAAAGGCAAUCAAGUUUUGUAUUCACAUCUUACAAUAAGGUAAUGGUUGCAAAAAAUGAUUUGGUAUCGUAGGCCUGGAGGCUUUGGAGUAAUGGAACAACAUUAGAACUCGUGGAUCCAACUAUUGUAAAUAAUUACCAUAACAGUGAAGUGAUUCGAUGCAUCCAUAUCGGUCUUUUAUGUGUUCAAGAAGAUCCUGUAGAGCGUCCGACCUUGUCAACCAUUUUGAUGUUGCUCACUAGUGAUACAGUGACUUUACCAAUGCCUCGGCAACCAAGUUUUUUUCGUUCAGAGUAGACCCGAAAAUAACCUGUUUGAUUUUGAUCAACCUAUGACAAACAAGUUUGUUGCAGGGUCUAUUGACAAUGCGUCAAUCACCUAUUUAUAUCCU